AGCACAUGAUUUUCCACUUUUUAUUUCAUUUAUUUUAUUGGGAUUAGCUUUUUUUAUCCUAAUAGAGACAAAGUUUGUAAUCUCUAAAUAACAUGUGAUCAAUCCAAUUACAGCACUUUUACCUUGAAGAGCAUCUUAAUUUUUCCCACAAUUUCAUUGAGUCAUCAGACAUAAGUUGCUUCUUGGUUUAAAAUUUGGUCCCCAAGAAACCUUUAGCUGUGAAGCAAAAGCACAGAGCGAAUUUUUACACAAGACAGGGAUGUCUAGAAUGGUCAUUACAGACAUAGAUAAUACUAAGAAGUUUGUGUUUCCCUGUUUUACUUAAGGUUAAGGAGACUUUUGGUGACUCUGAACUCUUUAUUAUUUCAGUUUAAAAGAAGAGUAUCCAAGACUAAGAGGAAGUGAUUGUCUUUGCUCCUUAAUGUUGCCUAUAUUGUAAUUAAUCACAUUAAUAAAUGCA
rnacentral:lncRNA from 1 species